UACGGAACUGCUUGUUUCUCAGUGGGCCGCGCCGGCUGGCUCAUCGGAUUCUCUGGGUGUGGUCCCAUCCCUGGCCCGCAGUCCGCACAAUCGAUAACAACAAAGCUACACGUCUGUAGCAAAACAGACUCACACAACACUACUCAAAAUGAACCGCAUAAUCGAUAACAAAUAUUCGGAACUACUAACUCAUGAACAAAAUACACAGCUGUAACAACUAUGAAAAUGUAAACAACAAAGAUCGGGCCCCGGUUCCGGACCCAGCGUACCCGCCCUACCAUGAGACGAUCACCUCCACUCGUCUCCCUCAUUUUGGCCACCAAAUGGCCUAUAUUAGCCCGUGUCGGCCACAAUGCCCACUCUCCCCAGCAAUAUCAUUUUAGCCGGACAUGAUUUCUUUCAAUAGCUGUUUAGGAUCUCAGGCAAGCGGAUAAUUCAUUAACUUCACAGAAUUAAUUUUUUUUAUUUUUUUACAACACUGAAUGGAACAGGCGACGAAACACUACAAGGAUAUUGCUAGUCGCCGCAAGAGAAACGCGCAAUGAGGCACUUUAGAGGCAAUCGUUGCCCCGAUUUAGGAACAAUGGCCCGCACAAUUACUUAAAACUGGAGCUCUCUGGGGUGGUAAGGGGCGAUAUAAAUGCGUAAAUUCAAAUUAGGCGCAGAUGCAUCACCGUUGGAGUUUUCCUCACCGUUCGCACUCUAAAGUGAAGCUCGGCGUAAGUGCCUAUGGAGUGCAAUUAGGAGUCUUCUUCUGACUCUGCCAGGGGCUCGAACGAGGAUGGG